UACAGAGGUCCCAAGCGUUGUUCGGAUUCACUGGGCGUAAAGGGUGCGCAGGUGGGUUUGCAAGUUCGAUGUGAAAGCCCCGGGCUUAACCCGGGAAUGGCAUUGGAUACUGCAGAUCUGGAGGUUCGGAGGGGGGACUGGAAUUCUUGGUGUAGCAGUGAAAUGCGUAGAUAUCAAGUGGAACACCAGUGGCGAAGGCGAGUCUCUGGACAUUUCCUGACGCUGAGGCACGAAAGCCAGGGGAGCAAACGGG
rnacentral:rRNA from 1 species